rnacentral:lncRNA from 1 species
GGGUGUCCAUUUUCUUCAUAUAAAAAGGCUUUGGGCAUCCACCUCUUGUGUUGAUUUCUAGUCCCUGGUAGUAGUAUAAUAAAAAAAAAAAGUAAGAGAAGAAGAGAAGAAGAAGAUCAAGAAAAGGAUCAAAGAGUUAAUCGCGAUCCAAGCUUCGUUCGGAUUUGUAGGUUGAUUUUUUUUAAAGAAAAAAAAUCAAUUUGAAGAGGACUGUUCUAGGAUGAUCCUGAGUGAAUACCCGUAGAG